GACCUGGCUGGGCGGUCUUGCCGAAAGGUAAGCACUGCUCUGGUCGGGUCUUUCCUUCUGGGGAACCUGCGUGCUCUUAAUUGAGUGCGCAGGGGAUCCAGGACUUUUACCUUGAGAAAAUUAGAGUGUUUAAAGCAGGCAUAAGCUUGAAUACGUUAGCAUGGAAUAAUAGAAUAGGAC
rnacentral:rRNA from 1 species